rnacentral:lncRNA from 1 species
UAUGUGUACCUCACUACUAUAAAAAUAUAGGGAAAUGAAAGCUUUUAAUAUACUUAAUUAGGAUGUUCAUGUUUCAUUAGUGCCAACAACAAGAUUUUUUAACACGCAUGGGAAGGCCUCCAGCUUAUUCAGAAGACGCUGAAUAUGCUUCAGUUCAAGUUUGUGGGACACCACCCUUGUCUCCCGGUAGUGAUCUUUGGAAAAGGGUAUCCAAUAGGUUAUCGAUGUAUUUCCUAAUCUAACAACCUUACAGAAAAUGUUAGGUAUCAUUAUUUGCAGCAAAUUAAAUUGUCUAAGUAUAACUUUAUUUGCAUUAUGUACUUUUCAUUGUAAAAUGAAAAAAAAAAGUUAUAAACAAACAUGACCAAACAA